rnacentral:rRNA from 1 species
AACGAACGCUGGCGGCAUGCCUAACACAUGCAAGUCGAACGAGACCUUCGGGUCUAGUGGCGCACGGGUGCGUAACGCGUGGGAACCUGCCCUUAGGUUCGGAAUAACUCCCCGAAAGGGGUGCUAAUACCGGAUAAUGUCUUCGGACCAAAGAUUUAUCGCCUUUGGAUGGGCCCGCGUUGGAUUAGCUAGUUGGUAGGGUAAAAGCCUACCAAGGCGACGAUCCAUAGCUGGUCUGAGAGGAUGAUCAGCCACACUGGGACUGAGACACGGCCCAGACUCCUACGGGAGGCAGCAGUGGGGAAUAUUGGACAAUGGGCGAAAGCCUGAUCCAGCAAUGCCGCGUGAGUGAUGAAGGCCUUAGGGUUGUAAAGCUCCUUUACCCGGGAUGAUAUGACAGUACCGGGAGAAUAAGCUCCGGCUAACUCCGUG